rnacentral:rRNA from 1 species
UAAGACGAACCGUGCGAACGUUGUUCGGAAUCACUGGGCUUAAAGGGCGCGUAGGCGGCUUGCCAAGUCGCGGGUGAAAUCUUUCGGCCUAACCGGAAAAGUGCCCGCGAUACUGGCCGGCUCGAGCGAGGUAGGGGCAGGGGGAACUUCCGGUGGAGCGGUGAAAUGCGUUGAUAUCGGAAGGAACGCCGGUGGCGAAAGCGCCCUGCUGGACCUCACCUGACGCUGAGGCGCGAAAGCCAGGGGAGCAAACGGGAUUAGAUACCCCGGUAGUCCUGGCCCUAAACGAUGGGUACUGGGUAGUGGGCUUUUCGGGGCUCACUGCCGUAGCAAAAGUGGUAAGUACCCCGCCUGGGGAGUAUGGUCGCAAGGCUG